GACGGAGGGUGCUAGCGUUGUUCGGAAUCACUGGGCGUAAAGGGCGCGUAGGCGGCCGUGGCAGUCGGGUGUGAAAGCCCGGAGCUCAACUCCGGAACGGCACUCGAGACGCCACGGCUGGAGGCCGGAAGAGGAGGGUGGAAUACCCAGUGUAGAGGUGAAAUUCGUAGAUAUUGGGUGGAACACCGGUGGCGAAAGCGGCUCUCUGGUCCGGACCUGACGCUGAGGCGCGAAAGCGUGGGGAGCAAACAGG
rnacentral:rRNA from 1 species